rnacentral:tRNA from 1 species
UACGUGAUGAUGUAAAUGCAUAAAAAUUUUUGAUAUUUUUUGGAAUAGGUAUCUAUUUCACGUGU